rnacentral:rRNA from 1 species
CCGAGUUUCCAACUCCCAAACCCCUGUGAUCCAACCUAUACGGAGCCUCGGCGGAUCAGCCCGCGCCCCGUAAAACGGGACGGCCCGCCCGAGGACCCUAAACUCUGUUUUUAGUGGAACUUCUGAGUAAAACAAACAAAUAAAUCAAAACUUUCAACAACGGAUCUCUUGGUUCUGGCAUCGAUGAAGAACGCAGCAAAAUGCGAUAAGUAAUGUGAAUUGCAGAAUUCAGUGAAUCAUCGAAUCUUUGAACGCACAUUGCGCCCGCCAGUAUUCUGGCGGGCAUGCCUGUUCGAGCGUCAUUUCAACCCUCAAGCUCAGCUUGGUGUUGGGACUCGCGGUAACCCGCGUUCCCCAAAUCGAUUGGCGGUCACGUCGAGCUUCCAUAGCGUAGUAAUCAUACACCUCGUUACUGGUAAUCGUCGCGGCCACGCCGUAAAACCCCAACUUCUGAAUGUUGACCUCGGAUCAGGUAGGAAUACCCGCUG